rnacentral:rRNA from 1 species
UACGUAGGGUGCGAGCGUUGUCCGGAAUUACUGGGCGUAAAGAGCUCGUAGGUGGUUUGUCGCGUUGUCCGUGAAAACUCACAACUCAAUUGUGGGCGUGCGGGCGAUACGGGCAGACUGGAGUACUGCAGGGGAACUGGAAUUCCUGGUGUAGCGGUGGAAUGCGCAGAUAUCAGGAGGAACACCGGUGGCGAAGGCGGGUCUCUGGGCAGUAACUGACGCUGAGGAGCGAAAGCGUGGGGAGCGAACAGG